ACGAACGCUGGCGGCGUGGCUAAGGCAUGCAAGUCGAACGGUCCUAUUCAACGGGUAACUGGAGAAUAGGAUAGUGGCGAACGGGUGAGGAAUACAUGGACAACGUACCCCAGACACAGGGAUAGCGGCGGGCCGCAAGGUCCUUUGCGAAAGUGCCGGUAAUACCUGAUGACCCCGAUGGAUCGCAUGAUCCGUCGGGCAAAGCUCCGACGGUCUGGGACCGGUUCAUGUCCUAUCAGCUAGUUGGUGGGGUAACGGCCCACCAAGGCGAUGACGGGUAUCGGGCGUGAGAGCGUGACCCGACACAUCGGAACUGAGACACUGUCCGGACACCUACGGGUGGCUGCAGCAACGAAUAUUCCGCAAUGGACGCAAGUCUGACGGAGCGACGCCGCGUGCAGGAAGAAGUCCCUCGGGAUGUAAACUGCUGUCAGGGGUGAGGAACAUUGACCAGCCCCAGAGGAAGCCACGGCUAACUCCGU
rnacentral:rRNA from 1 species